rnacentral:rRNA from 1 species
UACAGAGGGCGCGAGCGUUGUCCGGAAUCACUGGGCGUAAAGGGCGCGUAGGUGGCCACUAUAAGGCCGCGGUGAAAGUUCGGGGCUCAACCCUGAAUCUGCCGCGGCGACUGUAGGGCUAGGGCACCGUAGAGGCAGAUGGAAUUCCGGGUGUAGCGGUGGAAUGCGUAGAGAUCCGGAAGAACACCGGUGGCGAAGGCGGUCUGCUGGACAGUGACUGACGCUGAGAUGCGAAAGCGUGGGGAGCAAACAGG